AACUUUUAACAAUGGAUCACUUGGCUCUCGCAUCGAUGUAGAACGCGGCGAAAUGCGAUAAGUAAUGUGAAUUGCAGAUUUCAGUGAAUCAUCGAAUCUUUGAACGCACCUUGCGCUCCUAGGUCUUCCGAGGAGCAUGCCUGUUUGAGUGCCCAGAAUUACUCUCAACCGACACCUUGGUAUUGGUUGGAUAUGGGGGUCUGCCGUUGACUUGUUCACGGCUCCUCCUAAAUGUGUUAGCUCAUGGGUGAUGAACCGCUGUCGGCUUGAUAUUAGUGUCUAUGCUGCAGUUGUACAUGUGCCGUGGCUUACAAUCGUCCUUUGGACAAUUAUUCUAACCUCGGGCCUCAAAUCAGGUAGGACUACCCGCUGAACUUAAGCAUAUCAAUAAGCGGAGGCU
rnacentral:misc_RNA from 1 species